rnacentral:tRNA from 1 species
GCCCUCGUAGUUUAGCUUGGAUAGAAUACGAGCUUGCGGAGCUUGUGACACAGGUUCAAAUCCUGUCGAGGGCG